rnacentral:rRNA from 2 species
GCAUAUCAAUAAGCGGAGGAAAAGAAACCAACAGGGAUUGCCUCAGUAACGGCGAGUGAAGCGGCAAGAGCUCAAAUUUGAAAUCUGGCCCUUUCAGGGCCCGAGUUGUAAUUUGCAGAGGAUGCUUUGGGUGCGGCCGCGGCGUAAGUGCCCUGGAACGGGCUGUCGCAGAGGGUGAGAAUCCCGUCUUGAGUCGCCGGUUCGCGCCCGUGUAAAGCUCCUUCGACGAGUCGAGUUGUUUGGGAAUGCAGCUCUAAAUGGGUGGUAAAUUUCAUCUAAAGCUAAAUAUUGGCUGGAGACCGAUAGCGCACAAGUAGAGUGAUCGAAAGGUUAAAAGCACCUUGAAAAGGGAGUUAAAUAGCACGUGAAAUUGUUGAAAGGGAAGCGCUUGCAACCAGACUCGGCCGCAGAGGCUCAACGGGCACGUGUGCCUGUGCACUCCUCUGUGGUCGGGCCAGCAUCAGUUCUGGCGACCGGUCAAAGGCCCCUGGAAUGUGUCGUCCUCCGGGACGUCUUAUAGCCAGGGGUGCAAUGCGGCCAGCCGGGACUGAGGAACGCGCUUCGGCAUGGAUGCUGGCAUAAUGGUUGUAAGCGGCCCGUCUUGAAACACGGACCAAGGAGUCUAACAUCCACGCGAGUGUUCGGGUGUCAAACCCGUGCCCGCAGUGAAAGCGAACGGAGGUGGGAUCCCCGCAAGGGGCGCACCAUCGACCGAUCCUGAAGUCUUCGGAUGGAUUUGAGUAAGAGCGUGGCUGUUGGGACCCGAAAGAUGGUGAACUAUGCCUGAAUAGGGCGAAGCCAGAGGAAACUCUGGUGGAGGCUCGCAGCGGUUCUGACGUGCAAAUCGAUCGUCAAAUUUGGGUAUAGGGGCGAAAGACUAAUCGAACCAUCUAGUAGCUGGUUCCUGCC